rnacentral:rRNA from 1 species
UACGUAGGGUGCGAGCGUUGUCCGGAAUUAUUGGGCGUAAAGAGCUCGUAGGCGGUGUGUCACGUCGAUCGUGAAAACUUACAGCUUAACUGUGAGCGUGCGGUCGAUACGGGCAUCACUGGAGUUCGGCAGGGGAGACUGGAAUUCCUGGUGUAGCGGUGAAAUGCGCAGAUCUCAGGAGGAACACCGGUGGCGAAGGCGGGUCUCUGGGCCGAUACUGACGCUGAGGAGCGAAAGCGUGGGGAGCGAACAGG